UGUCUUUUAGAAAUUUAAUUUAAAGUCUAGCCUGCCCACUGAAUUUUUUUAAAUGGCCGCAGUAUCCUAACUGUGCAAAGGUAGCAUAAUCAUUAGUCUUUUAAUUGAAGGCUGGAAUGAAUGGUUGGAUGAAAUAUUAACUGUUUCAUAAAAAUUUAUAAUAGAAUUUUAUUUUUUAGUCAAAAAGCUAAAAUAUUCUUAAAAGACGAGAAGACCCUAUAAAUCUUUAUAUUUAGAAAAUUACAAUUAUUUAGAUAACUUUAAUUUUACUUUUUUUAAAUAUUUUAUUGGGGUGAUAUUAAAAUUUAAUAAACUUUUAAUUUAUUUUAAACAUAAAUUAAUGAAUUAUUGAUCCAUAAAUUAUGAUUAAAAAAUUAAGUUACUUUAGGGAUAACAGCGUAAUUUUUUUAGAGAGUUCAUAUUGAUAAAAAAGAUUGCGACCUCGAUGUUGGAUUAAGAUACAGUUUUAGGUGCAGCAGCUUAAACUUAAAGUCUGUUCGACUUUUAAAUUCUUACAUGAUCUGAG
rnacentral:rRNA from 1 species